ACGCGUCUCUUGGCUGUGCUGUAAUCGCUCUUCACCAUCACUGUGUUGGUCUGGUGUUAUAAAUCAGAAGAGGAGAGUUAUACUGACCCUGUCCACAAAGCCAUCUGAUUGCUGUUAAUG